GACGAACGCUGGCGGCGUGCUUAACACAUGCAAGUCGAACGGAAAGGCCCUGCUUUUGUGGGGUGCUCGAGUGGCGAACGGGUGAGUAACACGUGAGUAACCUGCCCUUGACUUUGGGAUAACUUCAGGAAACUGGGGCUAAUACCGGAUAGGAGCUCCUGCUGCAUGGUGGGGGUUGGAAAGUUUCGGCGGUUGGGGAUGGACUCGAGGCUUAUCAGCUUGUUGGUGGGGUAGUGCUUACCAAGGCUUUGACGGGUAGCCGGCCUGAGAGGGUGACCGGCCACAAUGGGACUGAGAUACGGCGCAGACUCCUACGGGAGGCAGCAGUGGGGAAUAUUGCACAAUGGGCGGAAGCCUGAUGCAGCAACGCCGCGUGCGGGAUGACGGCCUUCGGGUUGUAAACCGCUUUCGCCUGUGACGAAGCGUGAGUGACGGUAAUGGGUAAAGAAGCACCGGCUAACUACGUG
rnacentral:rRNA from 1 species